GUUUGCACUUGUCGGGGAAGGGUGAGAACCUUCGAUUAAGGUUCGACUCGAGCGAAAGCGAGAGAACGUUGCCAACGGCAACGGCCCGUAGGGUGAGGAGCGAAGCGACGAAUAAUCGUUCCCCCACUACCA
rnacentral:sRNA from 1 species